UUUGCUCUGAUUCCUCCUUGUCCUUCAGGCUUCGCCAGGGGGCUAGAAGUGGACCUUGAGGAAACUAGAAGUGGACCUUGAGGAAACCCGACUCCCCUGAGCCACAGGCAAGUGACGCCUGAGCGUGCUCAGGCUGGUGGGAACUUCCGCCUGGCCUCCGCCCGCUUUUGGCCUCCUCAGAGGCGGGUGCGGACUUACUCUUCGGCUCCGCCCACUCGCCUUGUACGACCGGGCGCCCCGCUGGCUCCGAGUGGCCGAAGGUGGCAGCACCGAGGACCAUGUGGGCCCUGGGACCUACCAGGUUCCAGUCCUGAAGCUGAGGGCGGCAGAUGGCUAUGCACCAUUUCUUUCUUUGACUGCUAGAGAAAGCACUUUUGCUGUUGUCUCCACUAUUGAAGAAGAUGUCCCAGGUCCAGGACACUAUAAUGUUUCAGAAGAACAGACCAAAAUAUCAUCUGUCAUUUUUUAUUGUCCCCAUGUAUCAUCUUCUUUCUGUUUACAAUCUGCA